AGCGAACGCUGGCGGCAGGCCUAACACAUGCAAGUCGAACGAACUCUUCGGAGUUAGUGGCGGACGGGUGAGUAACACGUGGGAACGUGCCUUUUGGUUCGGAAUAACUCAGGGAAACUUGUGCUAAUACCGAAUGUGCCCUUCGGGGGAAAGAUUUAUCGCCAUUAGAGCGGCCCGCGUCUGAUUAGCUAGUUGGUGAGGUAACGGCUCACCAAGGCGACGAUCAGUAGCUGGUCUGAGAGGAUGACCAGCCACACUGGGACUGAGACACGGCCCAGACUCCUACGGGAGGCAGCAGUGGGGAAUCUUGCGCAAUGGGCGAAAGCCUAACGCAGCCAUGCCGCGUGAAUGAUGAAGGUCUUAGGAUUGUAAAAUUCUUUCACCGGGGACGAUAAUGACGGUACCCGGAGAAGAAGCCCCGGCUAACUUCGUG
rnacentral:rRNA from 1 species